rnacentral:rRNA from 1 species
CGCCCUUCCUACGGGAGGCAGCAGUAAGGAAUAUUGGUCAAUGGAGGCAACUNUGAACCAGCCAUGCCGCGUGCAGGAAGACGGCCCUAUGGGUUGUAAACUGCUUUUGUACGGGAGAAAACCCUUUCACGUGUGGAGNUGAUAGUACNGA